UCUCCGUUGGUGAACCAGCGGAGGGAUCAUUACAGGAUUCGCAAGUCUCCCGUAAACCCCUGUGAACAUACCUAUACUCGUUGCCUCGGCGGGUGCUCCGGUGCGAACCGGGGCGCCAGCCCGCCGGCGGCACACAACUCUUGUCUCUUGCGUUGGCAUCUCCGAGCAAACAAAAACGAGUCAAAACUUUUAACAACGGAUCUCUUGGUUCUGGCAUCGAUGAAGAACGCAGC
rnacentral:misc_RNA from 1 species